GCCGCGGUGGUCUAGUGGCUAAGGUAUUCGGCUGCUAACCGGAAGGUCGCGGGAUCAAAUCCCGACUGUGGCG